GACGAACGCUGGCGGCGUGCCUAAUACAUGCAAGUAGAACGCCGUUGCGAACGGGUGAGUAACGCGUAGGUAACCUGCCUCAUAGCGGGGGAUAACUUUUGGAAACGAUAGCUAAUACCGCAUACUGUGAGAUGGACCUGCGUUGUAUUAUCUAGUUGGUGAGGUAAAGGCUAACGAAGGCGACGAUACAUAGCAGACCUGAGAGGGUGAUCGGGCAAACCGGGACUGAGAAACGGCCCAGACGACUAAGGGAGGCAGCAGUAGGGAAUCUUCGCGAAUGGACGGAAGUCUGACCGAGCAAAUCCGCGUGAGUGAAGAAGGUUGUCGGAGCGUAAAGCUUUGUUGUUAGGGAAGCGGUAACUACCCAGAAAGGAACGGCUAACUACGUGCCAGCCGCCGCGGUAAUAC
rnacentral:rRNA from 1 species